rnacentral:rRNA from 1 species
UGGGGAAUUUUCCGCAAUGGGCGAAAGCCUGACGGAGCAAGACCGCGUGAGGGAGGAAGGCCUACUGGUUGUAAACCUCUUUUGAUAGGGAAGAACACAAUGACGGUACCUAUCGAAUCAGCCUCGGCUAACUCCGUGCCAGCAGCCGCGGUAAUACGGAGGAGGCAAGCGUUAUCCGGAAUUAUUGGGCGUAAAGCGUCCGUAGGUGGUUUGUCAAGUCAGUUGUUAAAGCGUGGAGCUUAACUCCAUAACGGCAAUUGAAACUGACAGGCUAGAGUGCGAUAGGGGCAAGGGGAAUUCCCAGUGUAGCGGUGAAAUGCGUAGAUAUUGGGAAGAACAUCGGUGGCGAAAGCGCCUUGCUGGGUCUGCACUGACACUGAGGGACGAAAGCUAGGGGAGCGAAAGGGAUUAGAUACCCCUGUAGUCCUAGCCGUAAACGAUGGAUACUAGGCGUUGACCGUAUCGACCCGGUCAGUGCCGUAGCUAACGCGUUAAGUAUCCCGCCUGGGGAGUACGCUCG